UACAGAGGUCCCGAGCGUUGUUCGGAUUGACUGGGCGUAAAGGGCGCGUAGGCGGUUCGUACAGUCAGACGUGAAAUUCCUGGGCUCAACCUGGGGGCUGCGUUUGAUACGUGCGGACUUGAGUGCGGAAGAGGGUCGUGGAAUUCCCAGUGUAGAGGUGAAAUUCGUAGAUAUUGGGAAGAACACCGGUGGCGAAGGCGGCGACCUGGUCCGAUACUGACGCUGAGGCGCGAAAGCGUGGGGAGCAAACAGG
rnacentral:rRNA from 1 species